rnacentral:tRNA from 2 species
GGAGAGGUGCGAGAGUGGUUGAAUCGGGCGGUCUCGAAAACCGCUGUGCGCGCAAGUGUACCGUGGGUUCGAAUCCCACCCUCUCCGCCA